rnacentral:rRNA from 1 species
CACUCCUACGGGAGGCAGCAGUGGGGAAUAUUGGACAAUGGGCGCAAGCCUGAUCCAGCCAUGCCGCGUGAGUGAUGAAGGCCCUAGGGUUGUAAAGCUCUUUCACCGGUGAAGAUAAUGACGGUAACCGGAGAAGAAGCCCCGGCUAACUUCGUGCCAGCAGCCGCGGUAAUACGAAGGGGGCUAGCGUUGUUCGGAUUUACUGGGCGUAAAGCGCACGUAGGCGGACUAUUAAGUCAGGGGUGAAAUCCCGGGGCUCAACCCCGGAACUGCCUUUGAUACUGGUAGUCUUGAGUUCGAGAGAGGUGAGUGGAAUUCCGAGUGUAGAGGUGAAAUUCGUAGAUAUUCGGAGGAACACCAGUGGCGAAGGCGGCUCACUGGCUCGAUACUGACGCUGAGGUGCGAAAGCGUGGGGAGCAAACAGGAUUAGAUACCCUUGUAGUCC